GAGCAAACCUUAGUGAGCCUUCUCACAGUAUCUCCAGAUGUUUGCCUAAAGGAUGCACCUGCACUAUGAAAUUCACCCCGAAUGGAUGCUCAGAUGGUUUUACUUCCAGCAGAGAGGACACAACUCUCAGGCUGAAUUAGGCCAUUUGGAGAGAUUUACCAAAAUCUCCAUGGGUGAUAGACGUAAGACUUUUCUCUCAAACUGGUCUGGACUGAGCAUUUGUUCUUCUUAGAGCACUGUGCAAAGAGACAGAGAGAAAUUCUCCACUCGAAGCAUAUCUGCUGUUAAUGCUGAGGGGAGUUAAGUGUCUGCUUCUAUAGGAGAAUACACCCCAGUGUUCCUGAAGGGCACCCUGUUAAUAUGGUGCAAGAAUGUCUAAC